rnacentral:rRNA from 1 species
UACAGAGGUCUCAAGCGUUGUUCGGAUUCAUUGGGCGUAAAGGGUGUGUAGGUGGCGCCGUAAGUCGGGUGUGAAAUUUCGGAGCUUAACUCCGAAACUGCAUUCGAUACUGCGGUGCUUGAGGACUGGAGAGGAGACUGGAAUUCAUGGUGUAGCAGUGAAAUGCGUAGAGAUCAUGAGGAAGACCAGUGGCGAAGGCGGGUCUCUGGACAGUUUCUGACGCUGAGGCACGAAGGUCAGGGGAGCAAACGGG